rnacentral:misc_RNA from 1 species
GAGGCAUGAACCAAUUAGAACAGACCGGUCGAGAAGCAGCCAUUUGUGCGUUGAUGACCGUCGAGUAGAGCAGUAUUUAUAAUUUGCAUAAAAGCCAUACUUUGUGAUAGCAAUUGAGAAAAUUAUGCCUCGUCUUCAUAUUCUUUGUUUACUUUUAAAAGAAAAUAACAUGGCGUCGAAAUUACCAACGUCAGCCAGAAAAUUACUUUUUUCCUUUUGCUUCAUCUUGUCGUAGUUCGACGGAUUGAGUAAAAAUCCCCAAUGACGCAAGCUUAACGUAAGCAUUUGGUCUCGAAUACAACAGAUGGCGCCAUUGCUAAUUCAUGAAUGGCAAUAUCCUGAAUGGCUGAAAUGUCAUUCAAGAAAUAACCUAUCACGAGGAGAAACGGUUUCAGACGCUUGCCUGCAUCGAUUUGCAACCCUUUGCCUUGAGCACACAGCACGGAUUAAUGCCCUGUAAACGGAUAAAGAGAAGAUGCCCGAAGUGUAAGUGGUUCUGUAUGUAUAUUCUGCGGUUUCCGUGGUUUCAACAUGAAUUUACAUUUCGCGCAGGCUUUGGCGAUUGAUCAUCCCUUAUGCAGUGUCUGCUUAGCUAGUAGAUAUGGAAGUGCUUUGCUAUUGCUGCCAGCGUAAAACACCAGAUCGGUGCCUCCCGCAAUCUUUCCACCGCUUUAUUGUACGAAUUCCUUGCAAAGUAAUUAUUAAAAUUU